UUCGCAAUGCCCGAAAGGGUGACGAAGCGACGCCGCGUGGGUGAGGAAGGCCUUCGGGUUGUAAAGCCCUGUCAGGAGUUAAGAAAUGUAGACUCGCUAAUAUCGGGUCUAUUUGACAAAGGCUCCAAAGGAAGCCACGGCUAACUCUGUGCCAGCAGCCGCGGUAAUACAGAGGUGGCAAGCGUUGUUCGGAAUUAUUGGGCGUAAAGAGCACGUAGGUGGAUUUGUAAGUCAGACGUGAAAGCCUUCUGUUCAACGGAAGAAUUGCAUCUGAAACUACAAACCUUGAGUGUAGGAGGGGAGAAUGGAACUUCUGGUGGAGCGGUGAAAUGCGUAGAUAUCAGAAGGAACGCCGGCGGCGAAAGCGAUUCUCUGGCCUAUUACUGACACUCAGUGUGCGAAAGCUAGGGGAGCAAACGGGAUUAGAUACCCCAGUAGUCCUAGCCGUAAACGAUGGGCACUAAGUAGAGGGGUUUU
rnacentral:rRNA from 2 species